rnacentral:tRNA from 1 species
ACCUGGCUGGCCCAGCUGGUAGAGCACAUGACUCUUGAUCUCAGGGUCAUGACAGGUUUGUGAGUUCGAGCCCCAUGUUGGGUG